CCUACGGGAGGCAGCAGUGGGGAAUAUUGGGCAAUGGGCGCAAGCCUGACCCAGCCACGCCGCGUGAAGGAAGAAGGCUUUCGGGUUGUAAACUUCUUUUAUUGAGGACGAAACAAAUGACGGUACUCAAUGAAUAAGCCACGGCUAACUACGUGCCAGCAGCCGCGGUAAUACGUAGGUGGCAAGCGUUAUCCGGAUUUAUUGGUUUUACAGGGUGCGUAGGCGGGCUGUUAAGUCAGCGGGAAAAGCCCGGGGCUCAACCCCAGCGAGCCGUUGAAACUGGCUGUCUUGAGAUGUCGAGAGGUAUGCGGAAUGCGCAGUGUAGCGGUGAAAUGCUUAGAUAUUGCGCAGAACUCCGAUUGCGAAGGCAGCGUACCGGCGCCGGACUGACGCUGAGGCACGAAAGCGUGGGUAUCGAACAGGAUUAGAUACCCCAGUAGUC
rnacentral:rRNA from 1 species